rnacentral:rRNA from 1 species
AUUGAACGCUGGCGGCAGGCCUAACACAUGACAGUCGAGCGGAGCGGCGGAGGGGAGCGGAAUGCCAAGGAAUCGGCCUGGUCGUGGGGGAUAACGAUAGGAAACGGGCACUAAAGCCACAUACUAUCGGAAUAGGCUAGGUCGGAUUAGGUAGUUGGUGGGGUAAAGGCCUACCAAGGCGACGAUCCGUAUCUGGUCUGAGAGGAUGAGCAGUCACACUGGAACUGAGACACGGUCCAGACUCCUACGGGAGGCAGCAGUGGGGAAUAUUGGACAAUGGGCGAAAGCCUGAUCCAGCCAUGCCGCGUGUGUGAAGAAGGUCUUCGGAUUGUAAAGCACUUUAAGUUGGGAGGCGUUACCAACAGAAUAAGCACCGGCUAACUUCGUGCCAGCAGCCGCGGUAAUUC